AGCUUUGCAUCUUGUUUAGUUUCUGUGUUGCAUUUCCUCCUUCAUCACAGUGACCAUGCUAAGAAGGGUUGCCUCCUUUCAUGCUACACACAUUCCCUCCUUUCUCUUUCUUCCUCUUAAUAUGUUCUUUUGUCCUCUAUUUUCUCAAGGUCCACAUCCGGCAGCAGAAGUGUAGAUGACGACUCUGAAGAAGGAGGCCUCCCACUGAGCCAAGCCAAGGGGACAGAUCGUCCCACCAGUCCUGGUCAUAUGAGUGAUGAAGACCUGAGGGACAGCUCUGGAAAGAUCCGUCCUGCAUUGUGCAAGUUGGCU